CAGGCUAAUGUUCUUUUAAUGUGCUAUCUUCAAAUAUAGUGCCUUGGAGGGUUAUGUGUGUCCUUAUAAAUAAAGCAAAAGCCAGAAAUGCCAAAGUAUAAAUGGACAACACUGAACUCCUUAAGAUGGCAAAAGGCAGGCAGUAUAGUUUGUUUUCAUGAUGUGUGAUUCCCAGGAGCCUCAGCAGAUUUCAGCAGGGGAAACCUACCAGAGAAGUCCUCUUGGCUGCAGAUUACAAGAUCUUUAAGGAGCUCUGUAGAAGUAGAGAAGGGUUAUUAAAAAGAGAUUACUUCCAGGCUGUGACAAACUUGUCGGCACAAGCUAAAAGUGACUUUUCAGAUGUUUACAACGAGUUUGAUAAGAUUUUUAGAAGGACAUCAUUAAGCACCUCUUCAGCACUGAGGGCUGACAAGGUCGUAGGAGUGCUGCGAAAGAGACGCAUCAAGGAAUUGAUCUCUGGUUUUCACAUGCCAGUAAAAGUUAGGACAGCAUCCUCAACAGCAGGAGACAUUUGGCUGCUCCAGAGCAGACUAAGAGUGAAUCAGCAAGCACAUGGACCUUCUGGGAGAAAAAUGGGAAAUGAACCAAGCUAAGAGAGCAUCCUGCACUAAAGCUGGCUGUACAGUCUCACCUUUUGUCUCCUCAAGAGAAGGGAAGAUGGCUAAUUUCUUUAGAUCAAAGGCUGAGUAUUAGAUCAAAGCAAUUUUGUAGGCAAACGAUGUAUGGCACAGAUACUGAAGAUGCUUAUCAACUUAUGGCCUACUCUCAACAGUACUUGGACUCCUUCCUUUCCUUGUUUUAUGCGAUAAAAUUUGUAAUGAUGGUCCCAUUCUUUUUGCUUUGAUAGAAGGAAGUGCUAUCUAACAUAGCCUAAAGAAUGAUAAUAGCAAAAAAAGGAAUAGGCGAUCUUAUCUAGUACUUUUCUCACUUUGCCUUGUAACACUUACAAACAGUAAAAGAG
rnacentral:lncRNA from 1 species